UGGGGAAUAUUGGACAAUGGGCGCAAGCCUGCUCCAGCCAUGCCGCGUGAGUGAUGAAGGCCCUAGGGUUGUAAAGCUCUUUCACCGGUGAAGAUAAUGACGGUAACCGGAGAAGAAGCCCCGGCUAACUUCGUGCCAGCAGCCGCGGUAAUACGAAGGGGGCUAGCGUUGUUCGGAUUUACUGGGCGUAAAGCGCACGUAGGCGGACUAUUAAGUCAGGGGUGAAAUCCCGGGGCUCAACCCCGGAACUGCCUUUGAUACUGGUAGUCUUGAGUUCGAGAGAGGUGAGUGGAAUUCCGAGUGUAGAGGUGAAAUUCGUAGAUAUUCGGAGGAACACCAGUGGCGAAGGCGGCUCACUGGCUCGAUACUGACGCUGAGGUGCGAAAGCGGGGGGAGCAAACAGG
rnacentral:rRNA from 1 species